rnacentral:lncRNA from 1 species
AUGGGCCAGUGGCAAGCAUGCGAGGGUUUGGGAACAAUACGAAUGCAGCUGCGGGACCCAGAGAAAGCCAUAGUUUACUACAAACAGGCUCUCAGCGUACUGUCCAAGUGUAAGGAUUCACAAAGCUCAGCCCAAGAGCAGCUAGUGAAUAAACUGAGUGAAGCCCUGCAGCACAGGCUUUCCCUCAAUCAGAGAGGUCCUGUUUCAAGGAGAUCCAAUCGGAACAUCAGAGUCCACAGACAAACACUACGAAUUACAGACAGAGCCGAGCUCCUUCAAGCUCACCAAGUCAGGAAAGAGCAUGUGAAAGGAGAGAUGGUAGAUAAUGAUUCCCAGGGAGGAGAGGGAUCAAGCUCAGGGGCAGAUGGUGAACAGAAACGUCAAAGUGAAAUGAUGACUCCACAUUCACAUCCCAGAGGACAACACACAGACAGGGAGUUGCAUGAAAUCAGUGAACAGCCUGACGAACAUGACCCUUCACCUACUGAAAACUGUCACCAAGGUGAAACUGUCAAAGAAAGGACAACUGAAGUAAACGGUGAGCCUGCCCAGCCUGGGAUGUCUAAUGUGACUAACCACAGCAGGCACGAGGGAGCUGCUCCCGUGCUGAUGAAGCUGAGGUCGAGGUUGUGCACGGUUAUGUAACUCUGUCCGUCGCUACAUUAAAACACUUGAAUGGAACUUGGAGACUACUGUGAACAUGAUGUAACUUGCUGGUUAAUUCUGAAGACCUCUGUGUUCUCUGUGCAUAUACGGGUAUAUGCAGCCGAACCUCUGUAUUAUGUAAUUGAUCAGUAUAGAAUGUUCCUGUAUUACUGGUUUGCUUUAAUUUAAAUGAAAAUUGUGCUGUAUAUGUUCUGCAUUUACAUCUGAAUCCAUUUUAAGUGUCUUGAAAGGGAUCCUUAUGUCUGUUUUAUUUCAGAAUUGUAAUACUUAUUUAUUUAAAUUUUUUUGGCCCAGUAUUUUAAUGUAAUGUAUUUAUUCAAGUGUUAUCUCGACAGAUCUUAUGCUUUUGUAUUUUUAAACUAAUGGUUAUGCUUCUUUUUUCCCGAGGCAGACCUUUAGCAGUUUCAUAAUUAUGCUAAUCGAAAUGUAACCCCCCCUGAGCUAGGUCAGCGUUUUAAUUACACUUUGCCAUGCUCAGUUCUGAAUAAACCAGAAGAACCCAUGAGCA